CAAAGCUGAGGGAUCAGCGUAACCUUUCCAAAGGGAGGAUGACUUCACAUAAGCCAACCCUCACAUCGGGAAACUCCUCCUGCUUUGUCAGCGAACCCAAAUGUCUUCUCAUGGUCUUUCCCAGUUAAGAACUCCACCUCAGAAUCGGGGCCGGUCAGUGGGCGUGGAUUGCAAUCAUAGCCGGCCCUGGGGGAAGUGAGAGCAGGAUAGUGGAAUGCAGUUGCCAUUAGUGGGAAGAGGAGCUAACAAGCUAGCCUGUUAUGCUCAGCUGGAGUUGGGGAUGAAAUCAUGCCUCACUUUACGGUGGUACCCGUGAGGGAUCGAGCCCAGUCUGGAUAUGACAGUCUGGAGGGGAUCAACUCUGUGGACCACAGCGAUGGUGUCCCACUGGAUAAUCAAGACACGGUCAGCUCCGACGGACAUGGCAAUCACAAAGAAGACCACCCAUUUCUCAACAGUCCUGAUGAGAAGAAGGACUUCUACGAUAGGAACUUGGCCUUGUUCGAGGAAGAGCUGGACAUCCGACCCAAAGUGUCUUCUCUGCUCAGUCGCUUGGUCAGCUACACAAACAUCACCCAGGGAGCCAAGGAGCAUGAGGAAGAGGAGAGCGCGGAGGCUUCGCGCCGAAAGACUCCCAAGUCCCCCAACAUGGGUACUCUGAUGGGCGUCUACUUACCGUGCCUCCAGAACAUUUUCGGGGUCAUCCUCUUCCUGCGACUGACGUGGAUCGUCGGGGUGGCUGGCAUCAUGCAGUCCCUGUUAAUUGUUAUCAUGUGCUGCACGUGUACCAUGCUCACGGCCAUAUCAAUGAGUGCCAUUGCAACAAAUGGUGUCGUUCCAGCCGGCGGGGCCUACUUUAUGAUCUCACGCUCUCUGGGUCCAGAAUUUGGAGGAGCUGUGGGCCUGUGCUUCUACCUUGGCACCACCUUUGCUUCCGCCAUGUACAUCCUCGGAGCCAUUGAAAUAUUCUUGCAAUACCUGGUGCCUCAGGCCGCCGUCUUUCAUGCUGCGGACCACCACGGCACCGACAGCGCGAUGCUGAACAACAUGCGCGUCUACGGCACCAUCUGCCUCAGCCUUAUGGCCGUGGUGGUUUUCGUGGGGGUCAAAUAUGUCAAUAAGUUGGCCUCGCUCUUCCUCGCCUGCGUCAUUAUUUCAAUCAUCUCCAUCUACGCCGGCGCGAUCAAGUCCGCCUCUCAUCCGCCAGAAUUCCCGAUUUGCAUGCUUGGCAACAGGACCUUGGUCAGAGAUCGUUUUGAUGUGUGCGCAAAGACCGUCACCAUUGGCAACGUCACAGCACCCAGUCAGCUGUGGGACAUGUUCUGCCUUCCGGGGAACGCGAGCAGCGCACAGUGUGAUGACUAUUUCCUGCAGAAUAACGUCACAGAAAUCCAGGGCAUUCCCGGAUUGGCUAGUGGAAUAUUUAAAGACAACUUAUGGGGCGACUACCUGCAGAAAGGCGAGGUACUGGAGAAGGAUGGCCUCGCGUCGGUGGACUCCCACAGCACCAUGGAGCACUUUGGCAUGUAUGUCUCUGCAGACAUCGCCACGUCCUUUAUGCUGCUGGUGGGCAUCUUCUUCCCCUCGGCCACAGGCAUUAUGGCAGGCUCCAACCGGUCUGGAGAUCUCCGGGAUGCUCAGAAAUCCAUUCCCAUUGGAACCAUCUUAGCUAUUACCACCACGACUCUUGUCUAUCUAACAUCUGUGAUUUUGUUUGGGGCCUGUGUGGAAGGUGUGGUCCUAAGAGACAAGUUUGGUGAUGCCGUUAGGAACAAUUUGGUCGUAGGAACUCUGUCCUGGCCAUCCCCUUGGGUUAUUGUCAUCGGUUCCUUCUUCUCCACGGUGGGGGCAGGUCUGCAGACACUCACUGGAGCGCCUAGACUUCUUCAGGCUAUCGCUACGGACAAUAUCAUCCCGUUCCUCAGAGUUUUUGGUCAUGGGAAGGCUAAUGGUGAGCCAACAUGGGCCCUAUUGCUGACUGUUCUCAUAGCUGAGCUUGGUAUCCUGAUCGCCUCAUUGGAUAUGGUGGCACCUAUUCUUUCCAUGUUUUUCCUGAUGUGCUACCUCUUUGUCAACCUGGCCUGUGCCGUGCAAACACUCCUUCGCACCCCCAACUGGAGGCCGAGGUUCAGAUACUACCACUGGACUCUAUCCUUCCUCGGAAUGAGCAUGUGCUUGGCCCUGAUGUUCAUCUCCUCCUGGUAUUACGCUAUUGUGGCCAUGGGCAUUGCAGGGAUGAUCUACAAGUACAUCGAGUACCAGGGAGCAGAGAAGGAGUGGGGAGAUGGCAUCAGAGGACUUUCCCUAAGUGCUGCACGCUAUGCCCUGUUAAGGUUAGAAGUGGGACCCCCGCAUACCAAGAACUGGAGACCUCAGCUGUUGGUUCUGUCAAAGCUGGAUGAGGAUCUCCACAUUAAAUAUCCCCGACUGCUGACUUUUGCCUCGCAGCUAAAGGCCGGGAAGGGUCUUACCAUUGUGGGAUCUGUCAUCCAGGGAAAUUUCCUGGAAGGGUAUGGAGAACUGCAAGCAGCAGAACAGACCAUCAAGAACAUGAUGGACAUUGAGAGGGUCAAGGGUUUCUGUCAGGUGGUGGUGGCAAGCAAGGUGCGGGAGGGGAUCGUCCAUUUGAUCCAGUCCUGCGGUCUUGGGGGCAUGAAGCACAACACGGUGAUGAUGGGAUGGCCGUACGGCUGGAGGCAAAGCGAGGAUCCUCGAGCUUGGAAGACUUUUAUCAACACAGUCCGUUGCACCACUGCGGCCCACCUGGCUCUAAUGGUGCCCAAAAACGUGUCGUUCUACCCGAGCAACCACGAGCGCUUCACCGACGGCAGCAUUGACGUGUGGUGGAUCGUCCACGAUGGGGGGAUGCUCAUGCUGCUGCCUUUCCUGCUUAAGCAACAUAAAGUGUGGAGAAAAUGCCGAAUGCGUAUCUUCACUGUCGCCCAGAUGGAUGACAACAGCAUCCAGAUGAAGAAGGAUUUAGCCACAUUCCUCUACCAGUUGAGGAUAGAGGCAGAAGUGGAAGUGGUGGAGAUGCACGAUAGCGACAUCUCGGCGUACACUUACGAGCGCACGCUGAUGAUGGAGCAGAGAUCUCAGAUGCUGAGGCAGAUGAGACUGUCCGGCGCAGAGAGGAAGAGAGAGGCCCAACUUAUUAAGGACAGACAUUCACUGGUGCGAAUGGGAAGUUUGUACUCGGACGAGGAGGACGACACAUUGGACAGUCCUCUGCCGGAGAACGUUCACAUGACGUGGACGAAGGAGAAAUGCGAAGCUGAGAGGAGAAUCCGAAACAAUGCACCCGAAAACUUCAGAGAGCUCAUGAGCCUCAAACCUUCAUCUUCUCCCGCGGCGUGACGGACAGUGAGAGUGGGGGUUGCCGAGCGGCUCACAGACAAGCGUGUCGGAGAGAUGCUGAAAGAAAGCCAAUGCCGAGAGUCUUCCGUGCGCUCUCCUGGGUGCGGCUGUCCCACUAAAUCAACACUCACCGUCUCCUCCCCCGCCGGGCUGAGACUUACAGCAUGAGAGUAGGCGCCAUAGGCCCCAAACUGGAUAGUCAUGGGACUGAAGAUGCCGAGCUGACCCGCCAUCUGGUGCAUCCGGCGCAAAGUCCGCUCCUUGUCGGUGUCUGCGAAUUUGACCACCAAGCUGGACGAGGCGCCCUAAAGAUAAAAUGGAGCUUGAAGGAGAAGCAAAGUGGGGACCUGGAUGAUGAUGAUGAUCAUGAUGAUGAUCAUGAUGAUGAUGACGGUGACAAUGAGAGGAGAAUUUUUUCCUAAGUGAGCUACAAGUAACAGUACAGUCCUGCAAAGGGCAAAAGACAAGACUCGGACCAUUCAAUCCAGCAACGUCAAAACUGAUUGUUGUAAAAGUGGACUCAAGCAUGGAUCCGUUCUGAAAGACGUGCUGCUCAUCACAGACCACGCAGUACUCGUUAAGCGUGGGGAUCCUCUGCUCGGAGUACUUCAUUAUCUGUCCAAGCCACAUGGCCGCCAGCGCAAUCUCCUCAAACUGAUUGCCUAUUCACUUUGUCACCCAGUGGGAACUGAGCCCAUACUGUCUGCACCAGUCAGGCAAGUGAAUCACUAUAUCAUUAUUUUCUUGAAGAGGGGCCAAAUUGUGAAAUGACAUUAUCAGACUCUCAACAGUCCACUUCCAAGGAAGUUUAAUAUAGUGAAAAUAUUCUCAAAUGCUAUAUUUUAGGAUCUUUAUAAUCUCCCGCUGCAUCUCAUUUCUGCAUGUUGGCUCAAAAAUGUCCCAGGGAGCCCAAUCUCUCGCCAUCCAGACAGGAAGUGAGACUCUUGAUCACCUCAGCUUGCUGAGACUUUUCACAGACCUUCAUCCUUAUCUUUCCCUCUCUGCUUUUAUGUUCUACAACGGCAUAGAGACAAGCUCCGAGCCCCCUGAUAGGAUUUACAUUUCAAUUACAGGUCUUGGACGAUAACGCAAAUUGGGAUCAUAAAGUUAGCGUGAAAGACGGAAUGGGAAAAUACUUUACAGGGUGUCUAAUGGUGACAGUGCUCCAAAAGAAGACAGUACCAUAUUUUACCUUCUCAACAGCUCAUGCUGAACAAUGGAAAUUUUUAAAAAUAUAUCAUAAAAAGAAAACUGAGUUCUCUGUCACUGUUCAUACUUUCAAAUGGUCAGUUUUUCCUUCCUUAGAAAUUACAAUGAGCUAUUUUUAGAAUGGGCCCGAGGUCAACACGUUGGUGACCCCCGCGCUAAAGUGAUUGGAGUCAGAGUCAGCUUUAUUGUCAAUUCCUUCAUGCCAAGACGCACAAAGAAAUCGAAAUUACGUUUCCUCCAUCCCACGGUGACGAGACACAGUACACGAGUAACAUACAAGUAAACAACGGGGGAGAGAGUUGUGGCUAACAAAGCAGCAGUUUUAUAAGAACUGGAGCAAAAGUGUCAUUACCUCAAUGAAAAGGACAAUUUCUUCUAACUGCCUUGAACAAAAGCGCGAACAAGUCUCUUGCGAGAACUGUACUUUAUGAUCCGACUAGCCCAUAUAAUGCUUGUCUAAUCACCUUCCACCUUCACAAACUUCUUCUCAUAAUGACUCUAUUCCACAUGGAUUUGUGGAAUGAACUCCUUCACAAAACUCCAUCUGGGGUGUCAAGGUUAAUUAUGUCCCAACGCCAGCAACAGGAAAUGACUAAACUCGUACCUGGAUGCCGUACAGGAACUGCUCCGGCUCGUUCUCACCGUCGGAUUCCUCGUCGGUCCAGCACUGGCUUUUGAUGUCCUGUGGGCAAGCAAAGCAGCAGCCAUCAUUUCCUUGAGCGCCUUUCAUCACUAUAUUUAUAAUGCACUUUACAAAGUGAUUAAAAAUAACAAUCCUUUUGUUGGGAGAAUUAAAGCAAAUUCCUCGGAGGUCCGAUGGAAUAAAUAGACUUUAUUUGAUGUAGGUACCGAUGAGCCAGCUUACCAUCACUUCAGCUGUUCUCAGGAUUCAAUCAGUCAGCUUUAGGCCUCGUGCCAACCAUUGCAGCUGGGAAGGAAGGAAGCCAGUACGUCUUGCGCACCUUGGUACAACAGACAUAGGUCAGAUCCACGCGGAAACAAAAGAGGCCUUAGCUUAACAUUACACACUUUUGUCAGCAAAUUCUCCUUUAAACCGCCUGCACUUCACCUUCCUGCUGUCUCCUAGCAACAACCGUCUCUGCCUCUUUUUCUGAGUGGCAUUAAUCACUGUGGAGUGUGUGUGUGGGAGAACGGUGCUGGAUGUUCAGAACUGGGGUUGUCUGUGUUACAUUGUGUUUUUUUCCUCGGGAAAAAAAAAAAAUCUAUUCAGGUUGGCUGACCUUUUAAUGGACUUGUAAAAUGUUUUAUUUUUGCCCAGGUCAGCGAGCCUAUUGUUAAAAAUGAACAUUUUCUGAUUUGCUGGCAUGGUGAAUUGGAUUUUUUUUAAAGUCACUGUUUGGAGUGUGCAUAAUCACCAAUCCAUUGGUUUCUAAAGAUUUGAAAUGGAAUUGAUUAAUCGUGUUGAAACAGCAUUCACUUCUUGGCUGCAACCAGCAGUCAUCAAUGUUUAUUUACUGACGAUGCUAUGAACAGCAGUUAAGAAGAUCAAUAAUCUUUCAUUCACGCAUUCAUUAUUUGUUUUCUUUUUUUCUAAUUUUUCAUUCUCUUUAAUAUAUAUUGCAUUUGUGGAAUUUGAAUUGAGCAGAAAAAUCCACCCAUUUUUAUCCAUCUCAGGGUGCAGCCAUUUUGUCUUGUACUGCCAAUUGCUGUCGACUAAAUAUGACAUCACAGUAUCGAAAGGCCUCACCUGUUUGCAGGGUUUGGUCACGUGACAUUUUCAAGCUGACCCCCGUGAUAGAUUUCUCCACCUUCCACAAACACUAAUGAGAAUACUGCGUUUAGUCGUGUGGGAUUGUCGAGAUAUGUUUUUGUGUGACUUCUCCUUUUGUUGGCUAAUUUUACAUGACUUCUCCUUUUGUUGGCUGAUAAUAUUACCUCAAAAACCUCAAAACAUAUCAUGACUGACUUCUAUUGUUUCUGAAAUCUCAACAAAUCCUCCGUCAAGCACCGUUGCAAUAGGUUCCGCUCGAACUACAAAGCUGUCAUGUAUGACAAAGAAAACAGUGGUCCUUCCUAUUUUGGUUCAGUGAGUUCAACAACGUUGUCUUAUCAAAUGCCGGUGCACGGCUGUCACGCAAAAGACCAUUUACAUCAUUAAUAAACCAAAACACAAAGCACUUUAGUGUUACACACAUUACGAUAGAUAAUGCUGAUACGAAUUCCAAACAAGGACAUCAAGUCCCGACACCUCAUGCGUUCUUUGUGCGCCGUGUCGCUUCAGAGACCGUCUUCCUCAUAACUAAAUUCUACCUUGUCACGUACUGAAUAUGAGAAUAUCCCUUUCACUUGCACACAGCAUCCUGAUGUCCCCCCCCCCCCCCCCUAUCACCAUCCCGGUGGCUUUGUGGUGCCACAUUCCACCAUCGUCCUCAUUUCUCCCCAUGAUGAUUAUUUAGCACAAAAUGCAGUCAACCGCGUUUUCCCCCUCCCCCCUCUGCACACCCUCCCCAAACCUCCUCCAUCCAUAUUUACCUUCAGAGAGGAUGGAGACGCGGGAUGCUGUCCUCGCCUCAGCCUCUUCCCGCCUGGCGCCUGCAAGCAAAGACAAAAGGCUCAUCAAAAAUAACUCCGUGAUAUGAGCCGGUGUGUUUGUCAACUGCAGCUCUCACCGCGCCGACCGCCGUCUAGUGUAUUUUGCCUGACAACACUAAAGGGGUUGGAGCAUGCUCAGUGAGAGCAGACAGUCAGGUCAUGUGACCCGCAGCUGACUGCACUGCAGGAUGAUAAAAAAAAAAAAGGAAAGAUAGAGAGGCUUGUGCGCAUGUCUUUGUCUGCUGAUGAGUAAUCAUGUUGAUGCUCUUGAGUGUAUUCAUGUAAUCUACAAACAAUAUUACCGGAUUAGCACAUGCUUAAUAUUUUAAAACGGCAAGUCUGCACGAGAAAGCCCAUAAAAAUGAUGAUUACCUGAUUCCCCUAAUAUUUUAUAUUUAAGACAGAGCAAGCCGUAUACCAAAUGGAUAAAUGGACCUCGAUCUUUGUCUUACAUAUUACUAGUGCCAAGUUGACAAACAACUCAAAUUUCAAUUUGGUCAUUUUAAUGUUUUUUCCACAAAUCUCAACAGUUAAGUGGAUCUGUUGCAUUUACAAAUGCCUUUUUUGUUCUUUCCUGAAAAGUGAUGAUUUGGGGCAUGCAAGGAUUUCACCAGACAUCAUUGAAAUUGUUAUUUUUAAUACAAAGCUGUUAAAUUUGCCAUAAUAUUAUGCAGAGCAAUUAAAAAAAAAAAACUAUUUUUCCCAACUAUGUAUAAUACCAUAUGCUGCAAUUGGAAUUGAUUCA